GGGCAGGCAGACAGGCGAGGGAGCGGGGCCGGCGCGCAGGCGCAGUGCGCCCCGCCAGCGGAGGGGGGGGGUGGAUAGGCCUCGGCCUGGGCCUCCUCGCGAUGGUUCACGAGCCGCCCAAGGGAACUCGCCGUGCGGAUGCAGCGCUGCGGGGCUGUUGCCGCCCCAGCAGUGAAAGUGAUGCUGAAGAGAAGAUAUGACAAAUAGAGAAACCAGGGAGGCCACAGAGACACAAAAACAAACAUAUUCUUCAACACAGCUGUUCUCUACUUUUACUUAGAGAAAGAAUGUACGUGGACUGAAAGAAACUCCGUGACUACCGCCUUAUGGUACUGUGUAAUAUUUGAUGGAAAAAUUUAGAUAACCUUUUGAUAGUUCUGUAAAACAAUCAUUUAGAGAAGACCUUUGAAAUGCAAAAUAGGAAAAGAAAUGCGUUACCACUGAAUAAAUACUGCAAACAGUAAGCCUAUAACAGCUAUGGAAUCAGAACAUAAAAUCUUGUAGCAUAUAUGUUCUUAUGAUUGUAGUAUUUAAUAAGCACUGACAUGACACAGAAGGCCAAUUUUCUUGUUUGAAAAAAAAAAAAAAGCCUGUCCUUCUUAUAGUGAUAUAUAAGAGAUUAAAAUAAUUAGAGAGGAAUAUAAUCCAGUGAGUAAGAAUGAAUAAUUUCAUUGUUUAUAUAAAUGCAAGGAGAAAAUCCAAUUCUCUUAAAAGGAAUCUACAAAACCUAGAAGCUAAACAAGUUAGAUUGUAAGAAACAUGCAAGGACAUCAUAUGUUUUGAGAUUUUUUUAGAUUUUAUAUCCUUUUUCAAAUAGAGUGAAUGCAUAAGUGAAAGAAAAUUACACUCUCCAAUGCAAAUUGUUUUUAAAAGUUUAAGGAAUUCCUCAAAAAAACGUUAACAUACAUUGGCACAUAGCACUUUAGCUUCAUUAACAAAAAUAAAGAGGUAUUCACCUUAAAUUUUUACCACCAAUCAAUCAGUUCUAACAAUGAUGCCAAGAUUUUGGAGUACUUGCUUUAAAUUUCACUAUAUUUUUUUCUUAAAACGUGCAAAAUCAUAUGGUACGUUUAGUGAAUGAAACAAAGCAUUGAACAAGAAAAAGUCUUUCAUUUACAAAACCGCAUUACCAGUUGGAUAUAAUCAUCAGAAGAGUCUUCCAGGAAUAACAGAAAAAACAGACUUUAUAUAAAAUGCAUACUAUAUUAGAAAACAUGAAUUGAUAUUGCAACUUGGAGCUGUAGAGUGGGGUAACUCACUUCUUUCCAGAAAGCAAAUUUCUCACAGCAAUUUUUACUCCAUUUUCAGAUUGAGUCUUUGCUGAGAAAGCUUUGAUCUUUACCUAUGUGCAAAAGGACAUGUGCUGCAGCUAAACAGAUGCAACUGAAAACAGGAAAAUUACAAUAACUUAGUGAUACUCAAUAGGCAGAAUAAUACAUCUCCUGAUUAUCCAUUUAAAAUACAUUGAUGCUUGUCUGCCUUUUGUUUAUGUGGGUUUAAAUCAUUAACAGUCUUCACUGAAAUACAUUCUAAUCGUGGGUAUUUGCUUCAUUUGUGGGAAGGCAGCAGCAAAAUGGUCACUUUACACAAAAUAAAAUGCGACUCUUGUGUGUUGACCUUUGCACGCAGUGUGUUUUAAAUGGCAGUCUGCCUUAGAUCCAACAAAUUAUUUCUAUCCAUGUUCAAUUAUGAAGGAUACAGCAUGUCUACAGAACCCAUAUUAAAAAUGGUAAUGUAUCUUUACAUGCUUACUCUUAAAUUAUAGCGAGGAAAGAGUGAAGUUUUCUUUCUCCUCUUACUCUUUAAUAUACUGCUCAAAUCUGUGUUUUAACACAUAUCCAAAUGCAAUGCAUUGAAUAAUGAAAAAGUUUCAACAUUUAACAUGUAGUCACAGCUCAGGCAGGAGUUUGCGUGCUCUGUAUUUACAUGUUAUGCAAGUACAGGUAGCAGCAUCCAAGGUCAUGUCAGUGCAUCUCCUGGACACCAUGCCUCUUCAUACGUUGUGCUAUUUUCUAUUGUGCAAACGUAAUUACAAAUUUUGUAAUUCUUUAGACUGCAAAGAAAGGGGGAAGUAAUUCCACCAACUAUUGUAUUCAUUUUCUUGCUUUUAAUUGUAUUAUCACCUUUGGAGACUUUGGUAAAUUCCACUUAACUAGCAGCAAUGGAUAAAAUUGGUGGUUUUCAAGUACUGCUUUCGUUACUAAUGUUGGCAUUUAAAUGUUAAUUUCAGACUGAGGUUUACAGUAAACAUGAAACAAGGGAUUUUCUUUGAAUGAACAAUCUCAACCCAAAAUUCUAAAUAAAGGAAUCCAAGCACAGGGUGUUUUUGAGCACCGUGAUUAUUUCCUUUUAAAGAUUUAACAUUCCCUAAGUGAUAGAAGGUAAAGAUUUAAAAGUGACAGUUAAUUUAUAACUCUCUACAUUAAAAAGGUAUUUAAAUGUUAACCACAUUUUUAUGUGAGUCAAGUCUAAGUAAUGAUAAUUACAGUAUAAUACAAAAGAACCUGAAAUAAACUUCUAGCAAACCAUAUUGGAUAUUAAUGUUGUAUUAAGCCCUGAAAUGCUGUGUUAGUAAACUCUGGAAUUUAGAUUAUAUGCAACUUAAACGUAACACGGGGCUUUUCUUUAAAGAAGAAUACUUCAUUUCAAAGUUUGGAUUUUUGUGAGGUAUGUGUUAAUUAAUUGGAUUUUUAUUAAAUACAUUUACAUAGCAUCACUCCAAAACCAAGCCUCACAUUACUUUUCUUCUAUGGGCAUAUCUCUAUGUAGGAUUUGCUAAAUUAACAUUCCAUAUAAAUUAAUAGCCCUUUUUCAUGUUCGUUGUGUUGCGAUCAGCAGUGUGAUACUGUGUUGUGUCACAGGUCACAUUUAUUUGAUUUCGAUUUAGGAAUGGUAUCUGUGCUACGUAUUAAAUACGAGAAAUUACAUGCUGAAUUUCCCAUCAAAUAUCUUAAAUACAGACCUAUUUUAGAUGGAUUUGUAUAAACAAAACACAUAUAUCUAAUAUAGGCGUGGGAAAGGAAAAGCUGGUUUGUUAUAUGCUAAAGCAAAUUGAAGUAAAUCAACCGCAUCCGUGGGCUGUAUAAGCAAUACUACUCUGCUUUUCCCAGUACCAUUUGGACAAAACAAUGUUACUUUUUUAUUUAAAGUGUUUUCUUCUCAACAAGGGGCCACCACUUCCCAAUCUCAAAAACACGCCCCAGAAUAUGUUAAUUAAUUGUAUUGUGUCUCUGAAAGAAAGAGGUUGCCAAAUGCAAUAAAAAAAAAAAAGUCUUUCGAUCAAUGAGCUCCGUUCCCACUGCUAGUUACCAUCUAAUUUCAAUUACACAUAUAUAUACAUACAUACAUUUCCUCUAGGUACGAUUUUGACCAUUAAAAACUGUCUAAGAGCACAAGUCUAACUUGACCACAUAGGGUGUAUCUGGGAAGCUUAACAUUCCUGGCGAAUUAAGCGCGCAAGCCUCGGAUCACUUUUUGUCAAUCUUACUAUGGUACUUCAGAGCCGGGAAUGUGGGUAAUUUUUAUAUCGUGGUACUUCCCAAUUAAAAGUAACAACAAUGCUCCUUUGUGAAAAAACUUAAUAUAUUAAAUACGUCAACACAUUCCGCACAAAUACAAAAUAAAGAGCAAUGAAGAAUGGCAACAAACGGUCUCUCUCUGACCAUUUUUUUUAAUCUUCCCUUUCAAUAAGAUAGUUUUCAAAUAGCAAUAUAUUGUUUUAGUAAAUACGAGAGCAUUAAAUGUCCUUUUGAAUGACGCUUUCUAAAUUUGUAGUUACCUUUUAAAAAUUGCCAAGCAGCAAUCAAGAGUAAAUCCAUCUCCGGAAUACUCAAGUAGGAGAAGUAAAACAAAACAAAACAAAAAAAAAUCUUUCUUUCCUCGAUCUUAAAGUUAAUGCCUUUAGAUAUUACCAGGGUGAU